rnacentral:rRNA from 1 species
UACAGAGGUCUCAAGCGUUGUUCGGAUUCAUUGGGCGUAAAGGGUGCGUAGGUGGCGCGGUAAGUCGGGUGUGAAAUCUCGGAGCUUAACUCCGAAAUUGCAUUCGAUACUGCCGUGCUUGAGGACUGGAGAGGAGACUGGAAUUUACGGUGUAGCGGUGAAAUGCGUAGAUAUCGUAAGGAAGACCAGUGGCGAAGGCGGGUCUCUGGACAGUUCCUGACGCUGAAGCACGAAGGCCAGGGGAGCAAACGGG